UUGACCUCAAAUCAGGUAGGACUACCCGCUGAACUUAAGCAUAUCAAUAAGCGGAGGAAAAGAAACUAACAAGGAUUCCCCUAGUAACUGCGAGUGAAGCGGGAAAAGCUCAAAUUUAAAAUCUGGCGGUCCUCGCGGCCGUCCGAGUUGUAAUCUGGAGAAGCGUUUUCCGCGUCGGACCGUGUACAAGUCUUCUGGAAUGGAGCGUCGUAGAGGGUGAGAAUCCCGUCUCUGACACGGACCGCCGAUGCUUUUGUGAUACGCUCUCGAAGAGUCGAGUUGUUUGGGAAUGCAGCUCAAAACGGGUGGUAAAUUCCAUCUAAAGCUAAAUAUUGGCGAGAGACCGAUAGCGAACAAGUACCGUGAGGGAAAGAUGAAAAGCACUUUGGAAGGAGAGUUAAACAGUACGUGAAAUUGUUGAAAGGGAAACGUUUGAAGUCAGUCGCGUCGGUCGAGACUCAACCUUGCUCUUUUGCUCGGUGCACUUCUCGGCCGACGGGUCAGCAUCAAUUUCGACCGUCGGAUAAAGGCCGAGGGAAUGUGGCAUCUUUCGGGAUGUGUUAUAGCCUUCGGUUCGCAUACGGCGAUCGGGAUUGAGGAACUCAGCGCGCCUUCAUUGGUCGGGGCUUCGGCUCACGUUAACGCGUUUAGGAUGCUGGCAUA
rnacentral:rRNA from 1 species